rnacentral:rRNA from 1 species
CAGCAGCAGCCGCGGUAAUACGGAGGGAGCUAGCGUUGUUCGGAAUUACUGGGCGUAAAGCGCGCGUAGGCGGUUACUCAAGUCAGAGGUGAAAGCCCGGGGCUCAACCCCGGAACUGCCUUUGAAACUAGGUGACUAGAAUCUUGGAGAGGUCAGUGGAAUUCCGAGUGUAGAGGUGAAAUUCGUAGAUAUUCGGAAGAACACCAGUGGCGAAGGCGACUGACUGGACAAGUAUUGACGCUGAGGUGCGAAAGCGUGGGGAGCAAACAGGAUUAGAUACCCCCGUAGUCCCUGUCUCUUAUAC